GUCUUGUAGUUCAAAACAAGCUCAGCUGGUAGAAUGUGAGAGUCGUAAUCUCAGGGCCAUGGGUUCGAUCCCCACCUUGAGCA